rnacentral:tRNA from 1 species
GCCGGGGUGGUGGAAUGGUAGACACCGGGGACUUAAAAUCCCCUGGUCGCAAGGCCGUGUGAGUUCAAAUCUCAUCCCCGGCA